rnacentral:RNase_P_RNA from 1 species
CGGCGCCGACAGGCGGCCGCGUGCGACACCCCGCGAGGGGUUUCCCACGAGGAAAGUCCGAGCACGACAGGACACGGUGGUGGGUAACGCCCACGCGCCCGCCGAGCCGCGGGCGACGGACAGUGCAACAGAGAGCAAACCGCCGAUGGCCCGCAAGGGAUCAGGCAAGGGUGAAACGGUGCGGUAAGAGCGCACCGCCCGACCGGCGACGGUCGGGGCACGGCAAACCCCGCCGCGUGCAAGACCACGCAGCCCCCUCCCGCUUUCCGCGGGAACGACCGGUCCGGUCGGCCGGGGGCGGGUAGGUCGCUGAGGACCGCGUCCGGCAACGGCGCGGCAAGAGAAAUGGUCGCCUCCGCCCGUUCCCACGGGAACAGGCGAAGACAGAACUCGGCUUACCGUCGGCGUCGGCUC